AACAGAAGCUGAAAAGGUCUAGUGGGUGGUCUAAAGUGUUGUUAUUGUCCUCUGGAUCAUCGUUGGCCAGCGGGUUGCGGCUGAUGACCAGCUCCAGUCUGUCUCCGGCCUCCGUGAUGAGAGGCACCGCCAGGCAGCAGUCGAAGUCCCUCGUCCUCACGUGGUUCACCUGGACCAAGACGGAGACACACAGAAAACGGCUGCUCUGGAUCCUGUCAUAGGGUUUGAGCCCGGCUCGGUCAGCUGGCCCAUCUGGUCUGAUCAUGUUGACGUAAACACCUUUCUCCAAAAAGCCGUCUGACACGCUGAAGCCAAAGUCAUCGCUCUCUGGGUCCUUUAUCACUGUUACCUGCGGAAGGACGAUUCAAGGAGAUGGACAGCUAGUACCCUCGACAUUUAAGAGAACUAGAGGUGGGCAGAUUUUCUAAAGGACGCUGAAAUUAGACUAGACUGAUGUUUUGAGAAAUCUGCUAAUUCACAUUGAAGUUACAGUUGAACCACAACUAUUAUUUGCCCGUGGUGUUUAGACACAUGCAAAGUCUUGUAUUGACUGUUACGCUGCCAGGCAGGGUGGAUGGAUUUGUCAAGAACUGAGCACAACUUACCCUUAAACCAACAUUUAUUUUUAAUGAAGCUCUAGAAGGACUAGCAGUCAUAUUAUACAAUAUCAAUCAAAGGGACAAGCAAAUACAUGUAUUUCCCAAAAUGUCAUGUUUCCUUUAAGCUGAGCCAAGUUAUGUUAAGAUAUGUGAAUUUUAACUAGAAGGCAACUGGAGGU